rnacentral:rRNA from 1 species
UGCAGUCGAACGAGUUUCCGGGCUUGCUCCGGAAAUUGGUGGCGAACGGCUGAGUAACGCGUAGGUGACCUACCCCGUAGUGAGGAAUAACUUGCCCGAAAGGGUAGCUAAUACCUCAUGUUGAGACGCUUUCAUUAGCGUCUCCAAAGCAGCAAUGCGCUAUGGGCGGGGCCUGCGUUCGAUUAGCUAGUUGGUGAGGUAAUGGCUCACCAAGGCGACGAUCGAUAGGUGGUCUGAGAGGACGAUCACCCAGACUGGGACUGAGACACGGCCCAGACUCCUACGGGAGGCAGCAGUCGGGAAUUUUGCGCAAUGGGGGAAACCCUGACGCAGCAAUACCGCGUGUGGGAUGAAGGCCUUCGGGUCGUAAACCACUUUUCUCGGGGACGAUAAUGACGGUACCCGAGGAAUAAGCCACGGCUAACUACGUGCCAGCAGCCGCGGUAAUACGUAGGUGGCAAGCGUUGUCCGGAUUUACUGGGCGUAAAGCGCGCGCAGGCGGUGAAUGAAGUCGAAAGUGAAAGCCCCGGGCUCAACUCGGGAACAGCUUUCGAAACCAGUUCACUUGAAGGUGGAAGAGGGAAGUGGAAUUCCGAGUGUAGCGGUGGAAUGCGCAGAUAUUCGGAGGAACACCAGAGGCGAAGGCGACUUCCUGGUCCAAUCUUUGACGCUGAGGCGCGAAAGCUAGGGGAGCAAACAGGAUUAGAUAUCCUGGUAGUCCUAGCUGUAAACGAUGGAUACUAGUGUUGGAGGUUUUAACCCCUCCGGUGCCGCAGCUAACGCAUUAAGUAUCCCGCCUGGGGAGUACGGCGCAAGGCUAAAACUCAAGGAAUGACGGGCCCGCACAGCAGCGGAGCGUGGGGUUAAUCGAUGAUACGCGA